CCUACGGGGGGCAGCAGUGAGGAAUAUUGGUCAAUGGACGAGAGUCUGAACCAGCCAAGUAGCGUGAAGGAUGACUGCCCUAUGGGUUGUAAACUUCUUUUAUAUGGGAAUAAAAUGUUCCACGUGUGGGAUUUUGUAUGUACCAUAUGAAUAAGGAUCGGCUCACUCCGUGCCAGCAGCCGCGGUAAUACGGAGGAUCCGAGCGUUAUCCGGAUUUAUUGGGUUUAAAGGGAGCGUAGGUGGAUUGUUAAGUCAGUUGUGAAAGUUUGCGGCUCAACCGUAAAAUUGCAGUUGAAACUGGCAGUCUUGAGUACAGUAGAGGUGGGCGGAAUUCGUGGUGUAGCGGUGAAAUGCUUAGAUAUCACGAAGAACUCCGAUUGCGAAGGCAGUUCACUGGACUGCAACUGACACUGAGGCACGAAAGUGUGGGUAUCAAACAGGAUUAGAUACCCCGGUAGUC
rnacentral:rRNA from 1 species